rnacentral:rRNA from 1 species
GACGAACCGUGCGAACGUUAUUCGGAAUCACUGGGCUUAAAGCGCGUGUAGGCGGGACGGCACGUCGGUCGCUGAAAUCCCCCGGCUCAACCGGGGAACGGGCGCCGAUACGACCGCCCUGGAGGGACGUAGGGGACCGUGGAACUUCCGGUGGAGCGGUGAAAUGCGUUGAGAUCGGAAGGAACGCCCGUGGCGAAAGCGGCUCACUCGGACCAUUACUGACGCUGAGGCACGAAAGCUAGGGGAGCAAACAGG